UACGGAGGGUGCGAGCGUUGUCCGGAAUCACUGGGCGUAAAGGGCGCGUAGGCGGCUCAUGAAGGCUGUGGUGAAAGUCCGGGGCUCAACCUCGGAUCGGCCGUGGCGACUCGUGGGCUGGAGCACUGUAGAGGCGGGUGGAAUUCCGGGUGUAGCGGUGGAAUGCGUAGAGAUCCGGAAGAACACCGGUGGCGAAGGCGGCUCGCUGGGCAGUGGCUGACGCUGAGGCGCGACAGCGUGGGGAGCAAACAGG
rnacentral:rRNA from 1 species